CCUACGGGAGGCAGCAGUGGGGAAUAUUGGACAAUGGGCGAAAGCCUGAUCCAGCAAUGCCGCGUGAGUGAAGAAGGCCUUCGGGUUGUAAAGCUCUUUUACCCGGGAAGAUAAUGACUGUACCUGGAGAAUAAGCCCCGGCUAACUCCGUGCCAGCAGCCGCGGUAAUACGGAGGGGGCUAGCGUUGUUCGGAAUUACUGGGCGUAAAGCGUACGUAGGCGGCUUUUUAAGUCAGAGGUGAAAUCCCGGGGCUCAACUCCGGAACUGCCUUUGAGACUGGAUCGCUUGAACGUCGGAGAGGUGAGUGGAAUUCCGAGUGUAGAGGUGAAAUUCGUAGAUAUUCGGAAGAACACCAGUGGCGAAGGCGGCUCACUGGACGACUGUUGACGCUGAGGUACGAAAGCGUGGGGAGCAAACAGGAUUAGAUACCCUGGUAGUCCACGCCGUAAACGAUGAGAACUAGCUGUCGGGGCUCUUAGAGCCUCGGUGGCGCAGCUAACGCAUUAAGUUCUCCGCCUGGGGAGUACGGCCGCAGGUUAAACUCAAAGGAAUUGACGG
rnacentral:rRNA from 1 species